UACGUAGGGCGCAAGCGUUAUCCGGAAUUAUUGGGCGUAAAGAGCUCGUAGGCGGUUUGUCGCGUCUGCCGUGAAAAGUCCGGGGGCUCAACUCCGGAUCUGCGGUGGGUACGGGCAGACUAGAGUGAUGUAGGGGAGACUGGAAUUCCUGGUGUAGCGGUGAAAUGCGCAGAUAUCAGGAGGAACACCGAUGGCGAAGGCAGGUCUCUGGGCAUUAACUGACGCUGAGGAGCUGAAAGCGUGGGGAGCGAACAGG
rnacentral:rRNA from 1 species